AUUGAACGCUGGCGGUAUGCUUAACACAUGGCAAGUCGAACGGUAACAGGCCUUCGGGCGCUGACGAGUGGCGGACGGGUGAGUAACGCGUAGGAAUCUGCCUCAUAGUGGGGGACAACGUGGGGAAACUCACGCUAAUACCGCAUACGCCCUACGGGGGAAAGCGGGGGAUCUUCGGACCUCGCGCUAUGAGAUGAGCCUGCGUUAGAUUAGCUAGUUGGUAGGGUAAAGGCCUACCAAGGCGACGAUCUAUAGCUGGUCUGAGAGGACGAUCAGCCACACUGGGACUGAGACACGGCCCAGACUCCUACGGGAGGCAGCAGUGGGGAAUAUUGGACAAUGGGCGCAAGCCUGAUCCAGCAAUACCGCGUGUGUGAAGAAGGCCUUAGGGUUGUAAAGCACUUUCAAUUGGGAGGAAAACCUGCCGGUCAAUACCCGGUAGCUUGACAUUACCUUUAGAAGAAGCACCGGCUAACUCCGUG
rnacentral:rRNA from 1 species